AGCAGCCUCACCUACCAGCAGGGAGAUCACGGGCUGGCAGCCCAGAGCGGGCAGUGUGAGGGACGGGAGGAGAGCAGCCCCGGGAGGGAUCAGGGGCCGGUAGAUGUAGAUGAUGAAGAAGAGGAUAUAGAGAUAGUUGUUGUAUAGAUAGUUAGAGGGUAUGAUGAUAGUUGAUAGCGAUGUAGAUUAGUUGAUAGCGACGUAGAUUAGUUGAUAGUGACGUAGAUAGUGAGAUAGACAGCUGAUGGUGGUUUGUGAAUAGCAAGGUAGUUAGCAGCAAGCAAGAGUUAGUAGCAAUGUAGUUAGAUCAUAGCCAGAUAGCUGAUAGGGGGAUGCAGGAUAGAAAGAUGGGUGACUGGGAGAUAGUUAAUUUAUAGCCUGUGAUAUAAGAAGUUGCUAAAAAGAACUUAAUCUCUGUUUCAGAUGAGCCAUUGCGUCCUGGGACACCUCUCUCCCCGCCAGCAUGGGGUGAAGAGCAACACCUGAUGCUGCCCCAGCGCUGGCAGAAGAACAGCAGCUCUGCAGAGACCCGUCCUGCCAGCAGAGCAUCACGGAGAAGAAGACGCGCCUUCUGCUCACAGGAAGAUGAGCCACGGAGACCUGGGACACCACUCUCCCCUCCAGCAUGUGAUGAGGACCAACGCCUGAUGCUGCUUCAGCGCCGGCAGAAGAACAGCAGCUCUGGGAACACCCGUCCUGCCAGCAGAGCAUCACAGGGAAGAGGACGCACCUUCUGCUCAGAGCUAGUUACUCUUCUCCUGUAAGCCGAGCUUUGACAGAGUUGAUGUCCAAAACAGCCGAGGAAGAACUGGACUGAAGAGGAGAGCGCCAGCUGACAGCGCCCGUCUGGUGUGAUGUGCCCAGAGAGAGACUCGUCCAGCAAGAGAUAGAGUAGAUAGGGAGCAUAGGGACCCAGUUAGCUCUAAAAUGUCUUAGUAGUGCAGUUGUAAGAAAGCUCUGUAAAUAAAUUGUAUGCCAUUGUUUUCAUAUCCUUACACUGUGUCCAAAACUGUGUUUGUUCGUAGCCCGAUAUGCCUAGAAAUAAAUGACAGAACAAUAAAUCUUUUCCUCUG
rnacentral:lncRNA from 1 species